rnacentral:pre_miRNA from 1 species
GUAGUCGGAUUUACAUCAAUCCACAUGUGUUGAGGUGGGUUGGAGUAAAAUUUGAACUAAAUUCCAUCCCAAUCCACACCAACACACAUUGAAGUAAAUACGAUA